UUUAAAACGUUUUAUAUAACACUAGUCGAGAAUCAAAUGUUUUUAUUGUCAUAUUUCGUCGAACUUGUCGACAGUUUUGCUGUUACUCCGUUGUUUUGUGGCCUUGCUAGUCUAACAUUGGACAUAGGCGUAACACAGGUAACGUUUUGGUAUUUUAGCGUCGUUACGUUUUGGAUGCGUCGGUGGACUUUAGUUUGCGCGUUAAUUACUUUAUUUGUGUCACUGAGAUUAAUAUUUUAUUACUUUAUUUGUGCCACGAAGAUAAAUAUGUUUAGGCUCGUAAAGUUUGUGCAAGGCGAGCGAGACAAACGUGCGCAUCUAAUGGAGAAUCCACUACACUCGAGCGUGCCAGUGUUGUCUAUGUAGUGGAUUAAAAGAGAUGUCUGUAAUGUUUAUUUAUGUGCUGUAACGUCCAAACAGAUGAGAAAUGCUGCAUGUGCCUAAUGUUACAGGUGUUUUUAUUAUCAGAAAACAUUCAUGAUUAUUUACUAGCUCUCACUAGUGAAAGUGUCCUUAUUAUAUCCGCCUCAAGAUGCAUCUUUAACGUUAUAGGCAGCCAUAUUUACUGUUUGCAUUUUACUGAACCUGUAUGUUGCCUUGUUUGUAAGUUAACGUUAGUUUUAGGCGUUGUUUGUUAGUUGUAACAGGACAGGGAGGCGCCUACAAAUGUAGGUGAAUGUAGUAUAAUUUAGUUCUGCUGUUUUAUACAGCGUUAUUUAGCUUUUAAUCACUAUACGUAUGCAUUAUAUGUGGUUACUCAUGUUUUUGAAGCACUUUAGCACUGUCUUUGCAUGAUGUCCGACGGUUCACCUCAUUAGUAAAGACUCCAUGACCUGAAGUAGAUGUCGCGUCGGACAUUAGGGAGGGGGAGGUGUGCUCCAGGUGCGUGGUUGUUACAUGCGGCAGUGUUGUGCUGGUAAGAAGAGAAAGUGUUUAUGCAAUUCCUCUUGUGUCCACUUGGGGGCGAACCCUUACCGUGUAUAAAAGCGUGUUUUACAUUGCCUUGUGUUGGUUCCAUGCGUUUUACCUCAGCGCUCGUGUUGUAAGCGCUUUCAUUUCAUCACUGUUUGAAACAUUUUGUGAUUUUUAUAACCGCUUUAUCUUCAAAUACUCCUAAAGUAGAAUCCAUGCUUUGGAUUGGAGGGGUAGUAGUGCUCAUUAUAAUAGUCCCUCCUCCAGUCAGUUUUUGCUUUUAAAACCGCUUUCAUUUUAAAACGAGCUACAUAAACAACUUCUCAUAAGAGAGUUUGGUGUUUAUAAGUGCAUAUAUAGAUGAUUGUGUGGUUUUUAAAAGGUGUAAAAAGGCUCGCCGACAAUGUCUUUACUGUUUCCCGGAAGGCGGUCCCUCCUGCUGACAGUUUGUGGGUAUCGCUUCUCGGCCUUUUGGCUAAGAUCAAGUGUAGUAUCUGUUCUUAUCAGUUUAAUAUCUGAUACGUGCCCUACCCGGGCACCAUAUAUUAAAUUGAUUUUUGGAACAGGGAGAUGGAAUAGGGGCUUGCUCCGUCCACUCCACGUAUCGACCCGGUAUUGCAGUACAUCCGGGAACGGUGCACC